UAUCGGGUCAACCCGCGGAUCCUUCCCCUUUUGGGACGGCGUCGUUUUAAACAAAGGUUUUAAAACCCUUUUUCCCUUUUCUUCAAAUGCAGCCACAUUUUCUUUCCCUUUCUAAAGAAAUCAGAGUAAAAAGAACCCUAAAAGCCAUUACCACCAUUCGGCUAAUCCCAAAACUUGAGCAAAUCAACCGCCACCACUGCGAUUCGAUGGAAGAUUAACAUGCGCGCACUUCGACUAGAGUCUUAACUCAAGACCUAUCGAUUUCAGCCCUUAGUAAUCUCAUCCCAAACUUCGAUUUCAGCGAGGGAGACAAGAAUUCCGAUGGCCUAUUUACGACAGUAAACACUUCUCUUCUUUUAUUUUCUUAUAUUCGAGCCACAUGCAAAAUCAAAAGAAAGAAACACACACAUAAAAAAGGAUCGAGAAUCACCUUUCCAAUAAUUUUUAAUUCGAUUUUGUUGUAUUCAAUAAGUAUAUUUCAGUGUGCGUCCCCAUAUAAUGAGAAUGUUUAUGGCUUUAUAGCCAAAAAUAAAAAAGGAAAAAUACAAAGAAUUUAUUUGUUGUUGUUUUUCUCUUUGCUGUGCUGUCCUUUUUGCAUCUGUGCGCAGGUACGAAGGUACGAAGCUCGGUGGUUGUACGGCGUUGUGCUGGAGACGAGGACGAGGGGUUACGGCGCCUAGCAGCUAGGGUUUUCGCCCUUCGGCUGAAGCUUGUUUAAGUUUUGAGCCGUUUGGGCCAGGGGUAUUUUAGGCUACUUGGGUUAAUUGGGUUAGACUUAGUUUAGAAUUUGUAUUGGACUUGUAAUGGCCUGAUGGAAUUUUAUUUAUUUUUUGGUUUCUAUUUUCUGUUUGUGUUUUCAUAUGGGCCCGGGUAGAUUUGGGCAUGUACAAACCGUACAGAAGCCUAGUUUUGUUUAAAACAAACAGUGCUCAAUUUAGAGUUAUAUAUUAAGAGUUAUUAAUUUUUGAAUGAGAAAAGGCCAGAAUGCCAAGGUAGUAGACGGUCACAUCUCAUUAGUUAAUAUUUUAGCUGGAAUGAUAAGCAAGUUGAAAUGAGUAUCAGGUUCGAAUUUCAUGGUUGUAAUUUUGUGAUUAUAUGUUUAAUGCUUUUUUUGCGCUCAGCCUUCGGGCUCUAACCUAAUUAGCGGACAUGAAUGGCACUCGAGAUAAUCCUAUGGACACCUGAGAUUAUUUGAAUAGCGUCCAUGAGUGGUACAGGACUAUCCGGAUACCCGAUUAUUUGAACAGUAUGUGCAAUCUAACAAGUUUGACAAGUUUGAUAUGUAAGUGAUUUGGUUAUUUAGAUUUAAUGACUCAUGAUUUAAUUAUUAGAUACUCAUGUCAUGUUUCUAUGUAUACAUUUGAUUUGCAUGCUUAUAUUUAUGAAUUGCUUGAAAUAUGGUUGAUUUGUUGUGUACCACUGAACCUGUAAAGCUCAGCCUUCAAAUUAUCUUCAUGUUCAGCUGAGGAACAUCAUCGACGAGAGACUUCUAGCAUUACGAAUUCAAAGUACAAUACCUUAUCUAUUAGUGGGCAUUGUAUUCUUAAAGCCUUACUUGUAUUUUAUUUUUGUAAGUCUAUAACUCAUUUAUCCUUUUUGUUAUUUUGACUAUUUUGAUAUACGAUGAUAUUGGAGCUCCACAUAUUUUGUAUAACUACUUUUAUUACUAUUUUUAGUAUAACUAUGUAUGGUAUUUUCUUUUAUAUAAAAUGUAUUUCAAUGUUUUAAAUUAUUUGAAAAUUUUGUUGGGUUGCUCUGGUAACCUGAUGUAGCGCCUUAGCAUUUGAGUACACACUGAGGAAUUUGAAGUCGUUCCAUUUUACCUCUAAGGGUUACUUAGAGGGCAUCAUCUCAUUGUUGAAGGGUGAUGCAUAUGAUUGGUGGGAGACGAUCGAGAUGGUUUUACAGCCAGAGCUGCCGAUGUGGGAUCAAUUCUUGUAUAAGUUUCAAGGGAAGUACAUCGGUUAGGCAUAUAUAGAUGACUUGAAGAUGUAAUUUUCAUGACUAGUCUGGGGCAAUCGAUCGAUGUAUGAGUACGGGAGAGAUUUUCUGCGAUUGAGUUUUUUUGCCCCUGAGUUAGUUGCUUCUGAGAGUCUUAGGUAGAGAAGAUUCUGUGAGGGGCUGUACAUUGAUAUUCACACUUAUUUGGCGGUAGACUCGCCCGAGGUAUUUUCAGAAUUGGUACGACAAGUUAAAGCUAUAGAAAGGGUUCUAGGUAUGAGAAUGAGCUCGUCAGCCGAGUCUAGUAUCUAGAGUAAGAGGGCUUCUGACACUGCAAGUCCUUCUCAAAUAGUAGUCAAGAGAAUUCGAGAUUUUAAAGGAUUUAGGAGAGCUCCAUCGACACAGUCUCAGAGAUCAGGUCAAGGGUUAGGACCAGGGGCUCGUAGGAGACCGUUGACUUCCUCGUCGCUAGCGAGUUCAUAAGGGUCAGUCAGGACCCUGACUUUUCUAGUUUGUAAUUUCUGGAGACAUCCAGGGGAGUGUUAUUGGAAAACUAGAGCUUCUUUUCAGUAUGGGGCCACAAAACAUUUUGUCAAAGAUUGCCCUAGAGCUAACGGUGCUUCGCCUACUCUGACUCAGAGAUCAGCACAUUCUUUUCAACGUGGUAGAGGGUCAACUUAUGGUAGUGAUAAUGUUGCCUCAGGCUAGCAAAUUAGAGACACGGUUAGAUCUGCAGCCGUAUCUGAUAUUUGAGUUCUUUCUAGGCAGUAUGCUAUGAAAACUCGAGAAGACUGCAACACCACUGGUGUGAUUACAUAUAUUUUCAAAUUUUUCUCUAUUCCUAUUACUGCAUUAGUGGACUCCGGGUCCAUGCAUUUAUAUAUAUGCAGUGAAAUCAUCCGAUAGAGGUAUUCCUGUUGAGGAGUUAAAUGUUGGGGUUCGAGUAUCCAGCCCAUUAAGACUUGAUGUGUUGGUGGAUAAGUGUAUCGGAGAUGUCUAGUUGAGAUUUAGGGCAAGCUAUUUUCGGCAAACUUGAUGGAGUUGCCCUUUUGAGAGUUUGAUGUAAUUUUAAGCAUGAAUUGGUUGACUGAGCAUGAUGCAACUUUAAUAUGUAGAGUGAAACAGUUUAAGCUCCGUGGGUUAGACGGAACCAGAGUCCUAGUGACUAAUGAUAUUAGUGAAUGCUCAUCUUAUGUCAUUCCUGCGACUAUAGCUCGGAGGAUGAUUAGUAGAGGCUGUAAAGCCUUCUUAGCUCGUGUGGUGGAUAUAAGGGUCCAAAGUCCGGCAUUGGAGGACCUACGGACUGUGAAGGAGUUUCCAGAUGUUUUUCCUAAGGAGUUUCCGAGAUUACCUCUAAACAGAGAGUUAGAAUUUUGGAUUGAGGUAUUCCCUAGUACGGUUCUAGUAUCCAUUGCCCCGUACCACAUGGCAUUAACUGAGUUGAAAGAAUUGAAGACUCAGUUGCUAGAGUUGCUUGAGCGCGGCUUUAUAAGCCCUAGUGUGUUGCCAUGGGGAGCACCAAUGUUAUUUGUCUAAAAAAAGAUGGGUCGAUGAGAUUGUGCAUUGAUUAUCGUCAACUCAAUAAGGUGACAGUGAAGAACAAAUUUCCACUUCUGAGGAUUGAUGACCUGUUUGACCAGUUGAGAUGUACUUGCGUGUUUCUAAGAUUGAUUUGAGAUGGGGGUACCAUCAGUUGAAAGUUAAGGAGGGGAUAUCCUGAAGACAGCUUUUAGGACUAGAUAUGGCUAUUAUGAGUUCUUGGUGAUGUUGUUUGGGGGUAAAAAAUGCUUCUAUAGCCUUCAUGGAUUUAGUGAACAAUAUUUUUUAGCCCUACUUAGAUUAAUUUGUGGUGGUUUUCAUUGAUGAUAUAUUGGUGUAUUCGCGAUCUGAGGAUGAGCAUGAUCACCAUCUUCGAGUUGUGCAUCAGACCCUUCGAGAGAGAUGACUUUUUUUUUAAUUUAGUAAGUGUGAAUUUUGGCAUUCUAAAGUGGCCUUUUUGGGUCACAUUGUCGCGGUGGAUGGUAUCCAAGUGGAUCCGCAUAAGAUUCAAGCAGUGGUUGAUUGGAAGUCACCGCAUAAUAUUUUUGAAGUUCAUAGUUUUCUAGGCCUCACCGGGUAAUGUAGACAGUUUGUUAAAGGUUUUUCCAUGAUCGCUGCUCUUUUGACCAAUUUGCUGCAUAAGGGAGUUCCAUUUGAGUGGAAUGAGAAGCGCCAACAGAUUUUUUAUCAACUUAAGGCAAUUUUGAUAGAGGCACUAGUUUUGACUCAUAUGAAGUCAGGUAAGGACUAUGUAGUGUUCAGUGAUACGUCCUUGAAUGGACUUAGUUGCAUUCUCAUACAGGAAGGUAAGAUAGUUGCUUAUGCAUCUAGGUAGCUUAAGCUGCAUGAGCGUAACUACCCUACCCAUGAUUUAGAGUUAACAGCAGUGCUUUUUUGGAUUGAAGAUUUGGAGGUAUUAUCUCUUUGGGGAGAAGUGUUACAUCUAUAUUGAUCACAAGAGUCUUAAGUAUUUGGUCACCUAGAAGGAGCAAAAUUUGAGGCAACGUAGAUGGAUUGAGCUGCUUAAGGACUAUGAUUGCGUCAUUGACUAUCAUCCAAGUAAAGCUAAUAUGGUAGCGGAUGCAUUGAAUUGUAAAUCAGUGCCAACGUUGCGAGCAAUGUUUACGAAUUUGAGAUUGAAUAGUACGGUGGUUUAUUAGCUGAGCUUCAGGUUGAACCGAUAUUGGUGUUAGAGGUAAAAGAAGAACAUAAAUUUGAUGAUAGUUUGGUUGCCAAAGAAGAUAAGGUGAGACGAGGAGAAGUAUCAGGCUUCGAAUUACAAGAUGGUGAUGUAUUAUAUUUCAGAGGGCGACUUUGUGUUCCAGCAGGUGAACUGAGGGAUAAGAUCCUGAGUGGGGUACAUAGUAGUCCAUUUACUAUGCACCCAGGUAGUAACAAGAUGUAUCAAGAGCUUCGUCCAUUUUAUUAGUGGCCAAGGAUGAAGAGAGAUGUGUCAAAGUUUGUAACUCGAUGCUUAGCUUGUCAACAGGUGAAAGCAGAGCAUCAAGUUCCUUUAAAUUUUCUUUAGCCUAUCCAAAUUCGAUAAUGGAAAUGGGAUAGAGUCACUAUGGAUUUUAUGACUAGGUUACCUAUGUCUCGGUGCAGACAUGAUGCAAUUUGGGUAAUCGUGGAUAGAUUAACGAAGACUGCACAUUUUUUGCCAAUGCACAUAGACUUCACUCUCGAGAAGUUGGCCAAAUUGUAUAUUAGUGAGAUAGUGAGUUUCACUGGGUGCCGACUUUGAUUAUUUUAGACAGAGAUCUACAUUUCAUAUCGAGAUUUUAAAGAGUCCUUCAUGAGGUGUUGGGUACUUGUUUGCACUUCAGUACAGCUUUUCAUUCGCAGACUGAUGGUCAGUUAGAGUGAGUCAUUCAAAUUCUCAAGGAUAUACUUCGUUGUUCUAUCAUUGAGUUUGAAGGAGGUUGGGAGGAACACCUUCCCUUGGUCGAGCUUGCAUACAGCAACAGCUAUCAGUCUAGCAUUCAGAUGGCUCCUUUUGAGGCAUUAUGUGCAAGACUCCAUUGUGUUGGACAGAACUUAAUGAGAGGAAGAUAGUUGGCCUGGAGUUGAUCAGGGAGACUGAGGAUAAGGUUCAAAUGAUCCAAGAUAAUCUUAGAGUAGAUUUCAAUCGUCAGAAGUCAUAUUCAAAUUUGAAGUGUAAGGAGAUAAAGUUUGCAGUGGGCGACAAGGUCUUCCUUAAGGUUUCACCUUGGAAGAAAGUUUUACGCUUUGGACACAAAGGGAAAUUGAGUCCCAGGUUCAUUGGACCUUAUGAAGUUUUAGAGAGAGUUGGCCCAGUGGCAUAUCGGUUAUCCUUACCUCCAGAAUUGGAGCGUAUUCAUAAUGUGUUUCACGUGUCCAUACUUAAGAGGUACCGUUCUGAUCCUUCCCAUAUCUUAGCGCUUAAGCAAAUUAAGGUGAGCCUAGACUUGUCAUAUGAAGAAGAGCUGAUUCAGAUUUUGGCCUGAGAUAUUAAAGAACUUAGAAACAAUGAGAUCUUUAAUGAAUGUCCUGUAGAGGAAUCACGGAGCUGGGGAGGCGACAUGAGAGCUAGAGGAGUCCAUGAAAUUACAGUAUCCGCACCUUUUUUAUUCAGGUAAAUUUCAAGGACGAAAUUUCUUUUAAAGAGAGAAGAGUUGUAAUGACCCCAAAUUCUCGAGUCAACAUUCAAGCGUUGACCUCGGUUGGCAAUUGAUAAAUUUAUUUUGGGAUUGAGUUUUGUUUGAAUUAAUUUGGGUAAAUUUCAGACAUUUUUAUAAGAAAUUAAGGAUGUUAGGAAGCUUGUGUGAAGUAGGGGGAAGAUGGAUGGCUAAUAUGGUGAUCUUACCAUUUUUGAAUAAAAUUCUUCUCCCAAUUAAUGGGAAAAGAUGGUUUGGCAGAUUGAGGUAUGAGAUAAAGUGGAUUUGUCCUCAUUUUUCUCUAUAUUAUAAUCACCCUAUUUUUUUCUUUCUAUAUUUCUUCAUUUUUUUUUCUUCUUUUCUCCAUCUAUUUUUCUUAGCAAGCCUUGUACAAGAAGAGAGAUUUGAGUGAGUUCUCACCAUUUUUCAUCCUCUAAAUCUCAAAGAAGGUAAAGGUCUUGAUCUAGCUUUUUAUUUAAAGUUCCAUGAAAAAAAAUCUAUGUUCUUUAAGGAUAAAGGUGAAUGUUAUUUGGUGUUUGGGAGGGUUUGUGUUUGAGAAAGUCUCUACCCAUCUUCUCAUAUUUUAUUUAUUUAUUUAAAGCAUGUGUUUUUGCAUCCUAUCUACUCUCUUUUUUGUUGUUGGAAAUCUUGUGUGUUACAUGGUUAUUAGUUAAAGAGGGUGGUGAAUCUUCUAAAGCUAAGGGUAAAGACUAAAUGGUAGAGAGGUAGGCAAGAAACUUUGUUGGUGUUCUUCCAUCAAGGUGGUACCCUCUAACUCUCCUAUGCUUCUUGAUAAGUCAUAAAUACGAUGCUUGUAUGAUAAUGCAUGCAUGUUAUAUGUCUUUGGAUGGAAAUCAUGUUUGGAUGAUUUAAAAUGAAGCUAAAAACUUAAUUGUGAAAUCUAUCAGAAACAAAUUAUUACUUGAAUAGUAAGUUUAUUAAUUUUCCAUAAAUUUUUUAAAAAUAAUUAAGAAGUGAUCUAUACAUCGUUGUAACCAUGAGUCAGUCUAGUUUCGUUUAGAAUAAACGGAGAUCGAUUUCGAUUUGAAUUUUAAAAGAUAUGAAUUUUUGAGUGUUGAAAGGUCAUAAAAAUUUCGCAGCAGAAUUCUUAUAAACCAGAUUUAGUAGUGACUUUCGAAAAUCAGAAAAAAUUUCACAAGAUAAAAUAGGAAGUGAGCCUUAUAUCUCUAUAACCGUACAUAAGUCUAGUUUCGUUUAAAAUAGGAGAUGAGCCUUAGAGUUAUAUAUUAAGAGUUAUUAAUUUUUGAAUGAGAAAAGGUUAGAAUGUUAAGGUAGCAGACUGUCAAUAUUAACUAGAAUGAUAAGCAAGUUGAAACGAGUAUGAGACUCAAAUGUAAUGUCAUGGUUGUAUUUUUGUGAUUAUAUGUUUGAUGUUUUGUUUACGCUCAGCCUUCGGGCUCUAACCUAACUAGCGG
rnacentral:lncRNA from 1 species